UGCCAGCAGCCGCGGUAAUACGGAGGGGGCUAGCGUUGUUCGGAAUUACUGGGCGUAAAGCGCAUGUAGGUGGUGUGGCAAGUUAGAGGUGAAAGGCCUGGGCUCAACCUGGGAACUGCCUCUAAUACUGUCACGCUAGAGUUCGGGAGAGGGUAGCGGAAUUCCAAGUGUAGAGGUGAAAUUCGUAGAUAUUUGGAAGAACACCGGUGGCGAAGGCGGCUACCUGGACCGACACUGACACUGAGAUGCGAAAGCGUGGGGAGCGAACAGGAUUAGAUA
rnacentral:rRNA from 1 species